CCUACGGGUGGCAGCAGUGAGGAAUAUUGGUCAAUGGGCGGGAGCCUGAACCAGCCAAGCCGCGUGAAGGAAGAAGGCGCCACGCGUCGUAAACUUCUUUUGUCGGGGAACAAAGGGAGCCACGUGUGGCUUUGUGAGUGUACUCGAAGAAAAAGCAUCGGCUAACUCCGUGCCAGCAGCCGCGGUAAUACGGAGGAUGCGAGCGUUAUCCGGAUUUAUUGGGUUUAAAGGGUGCGUAGGCGGUUCGGAAAGUCAGCGGUAAAAGGCCGGGGCUCAAACCUGGCCUAGCGGUGGAAACUGUCGGACUAGAGACGGCGUGAAGUACGCGGAAUGCGUGGUGUAGCGGUGAAAUGCAUAGAUAUCGCGCAGAACUCCGAUUGCGAAGGCAGCGUACCGGCGCCGGACUGACGUUGAGGCACGAAAGCGUGGGUAUCGAACAGGAUUAGAUACCCUUGUAGUC
rnacentral:rRNA from 1 species